UACAGAGGGGGCAAGCGUUAUUCGGAAUUAUUGGGCGUAAAGGGCGCGUAGGCGGCUUGGCAAGUGGAAGGUGAAAUCCCUCGGCUUAACCGAGGAACUGCCCUCCAAACUGCUUUGCUUUGAGGCCGGGAGAGGUGAGUGGAAUUCCCAGUGUAGCGGUGAAAUGCGUAGAUAUUGGGAGGAACACCAGUGGCGAAGGCGGCUCACUGGACCGGUUCUGACGCUGAUGCGCGAAAGCGUGGGGAGCAAACGGG
rnacentral:rRNA from 1 species